UUUCCGUAGGUGAACCUGCGGAAGGAUCAUUAAUGUGUUUGGGCCUCACGGCUCUUCAUUCCGACGCUGUGCGCCUUCGGGCUGCACGCUGAGGGAGCAUAUAACCACCCCUGUGCACACACACGGUGGCGAGCUGGGUAACGGCUCGCCGCUGAUCUUUACACACGUCUAAAAGUCAUUGUAUGUUUAUUUGAGAUAAAAACACAACUUUCAGCAACGGAUCUCUUGGCUCUC
rnacentral:misc_RNA from 1 species